rnacentral:pre_miRNA from 1 species
AGAAGUUAAGAAACUGUUUCUUAACUUUUAACUAAAAAAGCUAAGAACCGGUUCUUAAAUAAGGACUUUAAGAACCGGUUCGAUGUGCUAGGGUUUAAUACAAUGAUUAACCCGAAGUUCUUAGAGUUGACGGUUUUUAGUUAAAAGUUAAGAAACAGUUUCUUAACUUCC